AGAGCGAACGCUGGCGGCAGGCUUAACACAUGCAAGUCGAGCGGGCGUAGCAAGUACGUCAGCGGCAGACGGGUGAGUAACGCGUGGGAACGUACCUUUUGGUUCGGAACAACACAGGGAAACUUGUGCUAAUACCGGAUAAGCCCUUACGGGGAAAGAUUUAUCGCCGAAAGAUCGGCCCGCGUCUGAUUAGCUAGUUGGUGAGGUAACGGCUCACCAAGGCGACGAUGCGUAGCUGGUCUGAGAGGAUGGUCAGCCACACUGGGACUGAGACACGGCCCAGAGUCCUACGGGAUGCAGCAGUCAGGAAUAUUGCGCAAUGGAGGAAACUCUGACGCAGCGACGCCGCGUGGGUGAUGAAGGCCUUCGGGUCGUAAAGCCCCGUCGGAGGGGAAGAAAGCGGUUUGGCUAAUAUCCAAGCCGCUCUUGACGGUACCCUCAAAGGAAGCACCGGCUAACUCCGUGCCAGCAGCCGC
rnacentral:rRNA from 1 species